rfam:Sus scrofa isolate TJ Tabasco breed Duroc chromosome 18, whole genome shotgun sequence.
GUGGUUGCUUCGGUAGCACAUAUACUAAAAUUGGAACAAUACAGAGAAGAUCAGCAUGCCCCCCUCCCCUCCCCCUGCACAAGGAUGACAUGCAAAUUAGUGAAGUGUUCCAUAUUUUC